UACGUAGGGUGCAAGCGUUAAUCGGAAUUACUGGGCGUAAAGCGUGCGCAGGCGGUGAUGUAAGACAGAUGUGAAAUCCCCGGGGCUCCAACCUGGGAACUGCAUUUGUGACUGCAUCGCUGGAGUGCGGCAGAGGGGGAUGGAAUUCCGCGUGUAGCAGUGAAAUGCGUAGAUAAUGCGGAGGAACACCGAUGGCGAAGGCAAUCCCCUGGACCUGUACUGAC
rnacentral:rRNA from 1 species